rnacentral:rRNA from 1 species
GUGCCAGCAGCCGCGGUAAUUCCAGCGUCCAAUAGCGUAUAUUAAAGUUGUUGUGGUUAAAAAGCUCGUAGUUGAACCUUGGGCCUGGCUGGCCGGUCCGCCUCACCGCGUGCACUGGUCCGGCCGGGCCUUUCCCUCUGUGGAACCCCAUACCCUUCACUGGGCGUGGCGGGGAAACAGGACAUUUACUUUGAAAAAAUUAGAGUGCUCCAGGCAGGCCUAUGCUCGAAUACAUUAGCAUGGAAUAAUAAAAUAGGACGCGCGGUUCUAUUUUGUUGGUUUAUAGGACCGCCGUAAUGAUUAAUAGGGACAGUCGGGGGCAUCAGUAUUCAACUGUCAGAGGUGAAAUUCUUGGAUCAGUUGAAGACUAACUACUGCGAAAGCUUUUUGCCAAGGAUGUUUUCAUUAAUCAGGAACGAAAGUUAGGGGAUCGAAGACGAUCAGAUACCGUCGUAGUCUUAACCAUAAACUAUGCCGACUAGGGAUCGGACGGUGUUAUUCAUGACCCGUUCGGCACCUUACGAGAAAUCAAAGUGCUUGGGCUCCAGGGGGGAGUAUGGUCGCAAGGCCGAAACUUAAAGAAAUUGACGGAAGGGCACCACCAGGGGUGAGCCUGCGGCUUAAUUUGACUCAACACGGGAAACUCACCAGGUCCAGACACAAUAAGGAUUGACAGAUUGAGAGCUCUUUCUUGAUUUUGUGGUGGUGGUGCAUGGCCGUUCUUAGUGUGGGGUGACUUGUCUGCUUAAUGCGAUACGACGAGGACCUUAACCUGCUAAUAGCCCGCAUUGCUCCGGCAGUGCGGCUGGCUUCUU